UCUCAGUUCGGAUUGGAGUCUGCAACCCGACUCCAUGAAGCUGGAUUCGCUAGUAAUCGCGCAUCAGCCACGGCGCGGUGAAUACGUUCCCGGGUCUUGUACACACCGCCCGUCACACCAUGGGAGUCAGCAACGCCCGAAGUCAGUGACCUAACCGAGAGGAAGGAGCUGCCGAAGGCGGGGCAGGUAACUGGGGUGAAGUCGUAACAAGGUAUC
rnacentral:rRNA from 1 species